rnacentral:rRNA from 1 species
GACGAACGCUGGCGGCGUGCUUAACACAUGCAAGUCGAAGAUAGAGGCGAGCGGGUGAGUAAUACGUGGGUAACCUGACCUACUUUUUGGGAUAAGACUUGGAAACGGGGUCGAAUACCGAAUAAAGGGGGAUGGGCUCGCGGCCUAUCAGCGUGUUGGUGGGGUGAUGGGCUACCAAGGCGGUGACGGGGAGCCGGCCUGAGCGGGUGACCUGCAACAUAGGCACGGAACUACGGCCCAGAUGCAGAAGGGAUGGAGCAGUGGGCGAAAUGGCACAACGGGCGAAAGACUGAUGCAGCGACGACGCGGGGGGGAUGAGGGCUUUCGGGUUGUAUAACUCUGUAGCUAUCGAACGGGUAGGUAGAGAAGAAGCGCCUGCUAACUACGUGCCAGCAGCCGCGGUAAUAC